rnacentral:rRNA from 1 species
AUUCCGGUUGAUCCUGCCGGACCCGACUGCUAUCGGGGUGAGACUAAGCCAUGCGAGUCGUG